rnacentral:rRNA from 1 species
CACGAACCGUACGAACGUUAUUCGGAAUCACUGGGCUUAAAGGGCUUGUAGGCGGCCUUGUAAGUCAGGUGUGAAAUCCCUCGGCUCAACCGAGGAAUGGCGCUUGAUACUGCACGGCUUGAGGGAGACAGGGGUAAGCGGAACUGAUGGUGGAGCGGUGAAAUGCGUUGAUAUCAUCAGGAACACCGGUGGCGAAAGCGGCUUACUGGGUCUCUUCUGACGCUGAGGAACGAAAGCUAGGGUAGCGAACGGG